CACUGAACUUGGUCUUGGCUUCAGUUCCACCCAGAGACAAAGUCCGUUUCCAGGCCAAUUUCCAUAUGAAAGCAGCUGAGAUCUCUUUCCCCAUUCUGGAAUUCCAGGCAGCACCCAGGGCUCUGACUUCUCAGACUCAAGAGUUUUUGCCCAACUUUCCCCCCUCAUCCCAACUCACCCCUAAUCUCCUCCCACUCCAGUUUCUCUGGCCACAGGAUUUCCACUUCUCCCAGCACAGUGUUGUGGCCCUGAGAGAGCGUCUGUGAACUCAACUCCAGAACAACUCGCUUCACGUUUCUCUGAGGAUGACGGUGAGGCCCGAGCCCUGCAGUUCGGAGGAGGCCCCCUUGGACUCUGCAGUUUUGCAGCUGACCCGGGACUACUGUCUGGCAGGGGAGGGCAAAGGAAGAGAAGAAGCACUUUUCUGAUGGGACAUUCGAUGAUGCUUCUUAGUGGGCGUGGCGCUUCCAUUCAAGUCCCCCAUCUCAGUCAGAGCUGGGGACUUGCAGUUUGUCCUUGCCUGACAGGGAUUCGAAGGGCCAAAUUGUUUCUAGAGAAUAAAACGAAAGGAAGCCCUGCAGGGAACUUUCUAGAUGAUCUGCUCCAGCUCCCACAUCUUAUUGAAGAGUGAACCUCAAUUCUGAGAGGUGGAGAGACUUGCUAGAGUAACAUACGUGGUUAAUGGAGGAACCAAACCUAGGGUCCAGUUAAGAAAAAUCGCUUCUGUCACCACUUGGAGCUCUCUGGCAGGAAACACAUUUUUGUCUGGUGGUUGUGAAAUGAAUUGCCAACCGUCAGGUUGGAGGGAGAAGAGCUGGAGCAGGUACCUCAGCACCAAGAGGCCCAGGCAUGAUGAAUACUGGUAGCACUUCAACAGGAACAGAGAGAGAAUUCCAGAGGUGCUGCAAGACCCACAGGUAGAGAUGACUAUGCUCCACUGGAUGUGUGGCUCUGGGCUUCUGUUCUCUCCAUCUCAUUUGAAAAUAAAGAUUCAGGGCCCGGAACACCCAGCUUCUCAAGCAGCUUCUCACCUGCCA
rnacentral:lncRNA from 1 species